GCUGCUUUGAUUUAAGAAGACAAUACCAUUUCCAGACAUCUCUUUCCUGGGGCUAACUAUAUUAGUAUUCUGCCCUGAUGGGAAGGAAGAAACUUCAUGGGCAGUAAAUAGCCAAUUUAGAAGCAGGAGAAAUAUGAGGUAAGCUGAAAUGUUACCCCCUGCUGGCUUUUUGAAAUGCAGAUUCAUCAAUUUCUUUGAUGUCCCUAGCCACUUCCAAUGAACAUCUUUCAGCAUAUUAUUUGCUUUCUUAACCACAUCACUUUUCACUGAGUUCAACAUUCCUGGAG
rnacentral:lncRNA from 1 species